UUCUCAAUCAUCCUACCAUAGCAUUGGAAGAAAAAAGAAUCAUAUUUUAGAUGUUCCAGCUUCUGUGGGCUGUGCUUGGUCGUCAUUGGUAUAGUCCCUGGUGGAAGGAAGGUUUAUGUUGGUAAAAUUGGGCAGGAGUUGACAGGUCAAACAGCCCACAGACUAUGCUCAAAGGAAAGUUGAAACAGCUUGUGAAGGCCAGAAGAAGGAAAGCCAAAAAAUAAAAAUAGAUGAAUUUCAUGCCAUGACGGGCAUUAGUUGUAAUUGGAACUGGUAUGGGUAUAGGAAAUACAGAUUGGAGCCUAUUAAUU
rnacentral:lncRNA from 1 species